rnacentral:rRNA from 1 species
CAGUAGCGUAUAUUAAAGUUGUUGCAGUUAAAAGCUCGUAGUUGGAUUUCUGGUACAAUGCGCCUGGCCCGCGGCAGUAAUGCCUGUGAGUGCCGGUGCGCGUUGGCCAUCCUUCUAGAAAACGUUUCUACCAUUAACUUGGCUGGACUCGCGAUCUAGAUCUUUUUACUUUGAAAAAUAGAGUGUUCAAAGCAAGGCUUUGCUGUGAAUACAUUAGCAUGGAAUAAUAAUCUAGGACUUCGGUUUUAUUUUGUUGGUUUCUAAAAUUGAAGUAAUGAUUGAUAGGGAUAGUUGGGGUGGCUAGUAUUGGCCGGCCAGAGGUGAAAUUCUUGGAUUCGGUCAAGACUAACUUAUGCGAAAGCAUUCAC